CCUACUAUGCAAGCCCUGGCAAAGAAUUACAAACACAAAAAUCUUACAGCUAGAAGAGAGACAUCUAGUGUGUGUUGGAGAACUUUAUAUAUUGUGCUUCAGGCAUAAUUAAUACAGCAAAAUCACUGCAGUCGUUUUGCAUACUGUGGUGGGAGAUUUUUGACAAAUAUCUUUCACCCUCAAUUCAUUUCAAAAUUUCUUCCCGGCUGUGUGACAUUUUUGCCUAAUUAGAUACCUUCUUCUUAACAUAAGCCUAACCCAAUGAAGUUUUCUCCGUGAUGCAAAGUUUUAAAGUUUCAUGGUCACCUUUGCAACCUAAUUAGUAAACAUUUAACCUACUGUCAUCAUAACCACUGCUCACAAUUCUUUCCAUUCAGGCAGCAGCAGGACUCCCGAGUCAAACUGUUGCAGUCAGUGUUUUAGUUUCCUGAAUAUCAGCCCCUCGUAGUAAGCCAAAUGCCACACAAAUACAAACACGAGGAAUAAAUCGGCACACUGCCCAUUAUCCAGGAGACAAACGGAUCCACUGCUAUUUUAAAUUCACCAAGUAGGCUAUUAGUUGCCACAGAUUCCCAUAUAUGUAGGUGAAUUCCUUGAUGCAGAAUCAGGUUUAAUGAAUCAUUCUACAGCAUCAGCCUCAGCCUUUUAAAAUCCUUUAUUUUCUCCUUUUCCACAUUAAAAACACAUUUGAGAUAUACACAGAAAAUGUUUCUCUAAAAAAACGCACACAUACACACAAAACAGGAGGUCUCUUAAGGAGUCUACUGCUGAGAAGGUAAAAGCAUUUUGCUCAUUUUUAAUUUGCUAAAACAAUCCAAGCAUGCUUGGUACCCAGAGGGUAUUCUCAAAUAAACUUGUAUCUCUAGCUGCCAGCUUAGUUGAUUGAAAACAGAAGGCAAACGUUUCUUAAAGAAUAUGUUAAACUGUUAUGUCUCCCAGUACCACUCAGGAUACACACACACACACACAGACACACACACGCACACAUACCGCAUAGUCAAGGAUUUGCUUGAAAGCAGCCAGUUCUAUUAUCUAAAAGGUAAUACAUUUGUACCAAAUUACUCCUGCCUACUGCGGUGCACCUUUUAGCGAAGAAGCCAGUGCCACUGGGAUCCUGGACAGUUCUGGUGUGCCAUUCUCCACGUACAAAGCCAACGGCCCCAUUUGCGACUUUGCUAACUUAGUUGGCUUCCGCCCAGCCGAACCCCGAAGCACAGUCACUGAAAACGUUUUGAUACCAGAAAAUCAUUUCCACGACAGUGCAAGUGUUCGAAAGCACAAAGGCAGACUGUCUACCCGCGACAGUUCGCAAGUUGCGGUGGCGGGGCGGCUGUGCGGAGCGCGCGUGCAGGGUCCAACGCAGGAUGCCUGGAAGCCGAAUGGACACAGAUAGGACUGAAGAGAACAGAACACAAGACUUUUUGUAGAAACUCUGCAGGUCAGAAGAUUUUUGUAUGGAAUGAUCUUCUCCAAUCAAUUAUUUGAAUCUAAGGUGUGCUCAAGAGGAGAAUCAGUUUCCCAUUCAACCACUUAGGAUUCUUUCUCUCUGCGUCCUAAAUUUGGCUUUGAGACCUUGGAUGAUGAUUCUCCUAAUCUGGUCAAUGGACCACCUGCAAGAAUCACCCAGGACUGGAGCCCAGGAAUCUGCUCAGUAACGUGACUGGGGUGCAUAGGAAGAGAAGAUCAUCAGUGGCAAAUGGCAGUCACAGGAAAGCAACACCCACAGCCGGUUUCACACGUGUGGAGAGCACCC
rnacentral:lncRNA from 1 species